rnacentral:rRNA from 1 species
GAUGAACGCUGGCGGCGUGUCUAAUACAUGCAAGUCGAGCGAACGGACGAGAAGCUUGCUUCUCUGAUGUUAGCGGCGGACGGGUGAGUAACACGUGGAUAACCUACCUAUAAGACUGGGAUAACUUCGGGAAACCGGAGCUAAUACCGGAUAAUAUUUUGAACCGCAUGGGUCAAAAGUGAAAGACGGUCUUGCUGUCACUUAUAGAUGGAUCCGCGCUGCAUUAGCUAGUUGGGAAGGUAACGGCUUACCAAGGCAACGAUGCAUAGCCGACCUGAGAGGGUGAUCGGCCACACUGGAACUGAGACACGCUCCAGACUCCUACGGGAGGCAGCAGUCGGGAAUCGUCCGCAAUGGGCGAAAGCCUGACGGAGCAACGCCGCGUGAGUGAUGACGGUCUUCGGAUCGUAAAACUCUGUUAUUAGGGAAGAACAUAUGUGUAAGUAACUGUGCACAUCUUGACGGUACCUAAUCAGAAAGCCACGGCUAACUACGUG